GCCAUCCCGCGCUCUGCGGGCUGGGAGGCCCGGGCCAGGACGCGAGUCCUGCGCAGCCGAGGUUCCCCAGCGCCCCCUGCAGCCGCGCGUAGGCAGAGACGGAGCCCGGCCCUGCGCCUCCGCACCACGCCCGGGACCCCACCCAGCGGCCCGUACCCGGAGAAGCAGCGCGAGCACCCGAAGCUCCCGGCUGGCGGCAGAAACCGGGAGUGGGGCCGGGCGAGUGCGCGGCAUCCCAGGCCGGCCCGAACGCUCCGCCCGCGGUGGGCCGACUUCCCCUCCUCUUCCCUCUCUCCUUCCUUUAGCCCGCUGGCGCCGGACACGCUGCGCCUCAUCUCUUGGGGCGUUCUUCCCCGUUGGCCAACCGUCGCAUCCCGUGCAACUUUGGGGUAGUGGCCGUUUAGUGUUGAAUGUUCCCCACCGAGAGCGCAUGGCUUGGGAAGCGAGGCGCGAACCCGGCCCCCGAAGGGCCGCCGUCCGGGAGACGGUGAUGCUGUUGCUG
rnacentral:lncRNA from 1 species